AUGCCUCUGCCAUGUUCGUCACGGGCCUCGUAUUGUUGACCCUAUAAAAAUCCGCAGGGAACCGGAGUUUUCGCCUCGGCCGCGUGUAUAUCCGACGUUCGCUCAGCGAACUUUCGGCUCACACAACCCGAGCGAUGGUUCCCACGUUGUAUCGCGGGUUCAAACAAUAAGGCCUGAACGGCAUUACGGUGGAGGCGUU
rnacentral:other from 1 species